rnacentral:rRNA from 1 species
CUACGGGUGGCAGCAGUGGGGAAUAUUGCACAAUGGAGGAAACUCUGAUGCAGCAACGCCGCGUGGAGGAUGACGCAUUUCGGUGUGUAAACUCCUUUUAUAUGUCAAGAAAAUGACGGUAGCAUAUGAAUAAGCACCGGCUAACUCCGUGCCAGCAGCCGCGGUAAUACGGAGGGUGCAAGCGUUACUCGGAAUCACUGGGCGUAAAGGACGCGUAGGCGGGUUGGAAAGUCAGGUGUGAAAUCCUACAGCUUAACUGUAGAACUGCACUUGAAACUUCUAAUCUAGAGUAUGGGAGGGGGAGAGGGAAUUAGCGGUGUAGGGGUAAAAUCCGUAGAUAUCACUAGGAAUACCUAAAGCGAAGGCGAUCUCCUGGAACAUUACUGACGCUAAGGCGUGAAAGCGUGGGGAGCAAACAGGAUUAGAUACCCCGGUAGUC